CUCUUGACACAAAGCCAAAACCAAAACCCUUAAUUACUUUCUUCUUCGACAAAGCUCUCUCUCUCUCUCUCUCUCUCUCUCUCUCUCUCUCUCUCUCUCUCUCUCUCUCUCUCUCUCUCUCUCUCUCUCUCUCUCUCUCUCUCCGACAAACACCGACCACCCCGACCAAAACCUAAUGGGUUAUUCGAUCUGGGAAAUAGCGAAGGCCUUCAUUGAGACCACUUUGAGCUUGUCGUUGACCUCUACACCCAGGCCAUCGCCGUCGACCCCAACAACUCAGAGUUCUACUCAGACCGCGCUCAGGCCAACAUCAAAUCCAACAAUCUCACUGAGGCUAUGGAAAACCUAAUAGGUAGACCUCUAGUGUUCUUCAGAUCUUUCGGCAGUGGUGUGUUGCUUUCGACAGAUUCGAAAUUCAGCUAUGGGUAACCAAGAUUUGAAUUCAAACAUUGGAGCUGUGGAUUUGGGAUUGAAGACAAAAUUGUCAAAAUUGGGGCUAAGAAGAUAACUAAGAAGGUUUCUGGGACUUUGGUGUGUAAGGCUAUUUUUUGGUGGAAGAUAUGGGGGUCUAAGAUUUGGGAUUUGAGAAGGACCAAGGACCAGUUGGGACUGUCAUUGAAGGAGAGAAUUCCACCAAGGAAAAUGAGAAACUGGAAGAAGGGUCAGGCCAUAAUGAGCCCAUAAAAUUUGGAUCACAUGGUGAUGAAAUGGCUAAAAAGGAAGGGAAUGGGGUCGCGGUACAAAACUUCCCUCAAGAUGCAGUUGAUGAGUGGCCUGCCCCUAAGUAGAUCCAUUCUUUUUAUUUUGUCAGGUACCGGACAUAUGAUGAUCCAAAACUAAAAGCCAAAAUUGAGCAGGCUAAUGUAAAAGUUCAGAAGAAGAAUCAGGAUUGAUCUCGAGUCCUUGAAGCAUUAAAUGCAAAGAGGGUGAGUUGAAGUCCUUUGUUUUGAACAUAACCUACUCUUAUCUGUUUGUUUUUACAUCAUUGAUUCCUUACAAUAUUACAUGCAGAUAUAUGGCAUUAAAACAUUGAAACAGAGGCUCUCAUCCGCUGCUAUUGAAAUAUGAUAAUUUUGCAGAAAUUCAUUGCUAUGCU